GGGGAUUUAGAUAGACUGGGGGACUGGGCACUCAAAUGGCAGAUGAAAUUUAAUGUUGAAAAAUGCAAAGUUAUGCACUUCGGCGUAAAGAAUACACAAGCAACGUAUACUCUUAAUGGAAGCGAAUUAGGGAUAACAACACACGAAAAGGACUUGGGAAUUGUUACAGACAACAAACUAUGCAAUGUCAAUCAGCAGUGGCCAAGGCCAGUAAGGUAUUGUCAUGCAUGAAAAAGGGC